AGAAUCAACGCUGGCGGCGUGCCUAACACAUGCAAGUCGAACGAGAAAGUGGAGCAAUCCAUGAGUAAAGUGGCGCACGGGUGAGUAACACGUGACUAACCUACCCUUGAGUGGGGGAUAACCUAGAGAAAUCUGGGCUAAUACCGCAUAAUACCUUCGGGUCAAAGGAGCAAUUCACUUAAGGAGGGGGUCGCGGCCGAUUAGUUAGUUGGCGGGGUAAUGGCCCACCAAGACUGUGAUCGGUAUCCGGCCUGAGAGGGCGCACGGACACACUGGAACUGAAACACGGUCCAGACUCCUACGGGAGGCAGCAGUGGGGAAUUUGCGCAAUGGGGGAAACCCUGACGCAGCAACGCCGCGUGGAGGAUGAAGCCCCUUGGGGCGUAAACUCCUUUCGAUCGGGAAGAUAAUGACGGUACCGAGAGAAGAAGCCCCGGCUAACUUCGCGCCAGCAGCCGC
rnacentral:rRNA from 1 species